UGCCCAUUGGCCCAGUGGUCAAGGCGUCUGACUGUUAAUGUCUAAAAAGAUAUAUCAGAAAAAUCAGAAGAUCCCUGGUUCGACCCCAGGAUGGGCAG